rnacentral:rRNA from 1 species
AUACGUAGGGGGCGAGCGUUGUCCGGAAUUAUUGGGCGUAAAGGGUACGUAGGCGGUUUUUUAAGUCUGGUGUGAAAUUGGUGGGCUCAACCCACCCAAGCAUUGGAAACUGGAAAACUUGAGUCAUGGAGAGGAAAGUGGAAUUCCUAGUGUAGCGGUGAAAUGCGUAGAUAUUAGGAGGAAUACCGGUGGCGAAGGCGGCUUUCUGGACAUGUACUGACGCUGAGGUACGAAAGCGUGGGGAGCAAACAGGAUUAGAUACCCUGGUAGUCCACGCCGUAAACGAUGAGUGCUAGGUGUUGGGGGUCAAACCUCGGUGCCGCAGUUAACACAUUAAGCACUCCGCCUGGGGAGUACGUGCGCAAGCAUGAAACUCAAAGGAAUUGACGGGG